UGAAUGUAGCUUCCAGGUUUGUCACAAUUAUAUUCUCCUGUCCUUCUCAACCAGGUCGAAAGUCCGGUGGGGGUGUGCUGUCCUUUCUCAGGGGCAGCUCACGCGAGCCCAGCCCCCACCACACCUCUGCACACCACCGGGUGGAAGCUGUCCGCUACAUCCCCGGGUCGGACUGGGGGGACAGCGGCGGCCACCUAGAUGACGUGGAUGCUUCCAUCUUGUCUGAUGAAGCCACUCCCUCCCCAGAGGAAAAGCCCAAAGUUGGCAGCACCGCACCUUCUCCACACAUUGAACUUCAGUUCUCUGACUCCUCUGCUAAGUUCUACUGCCGUGUUUACUUUGCCGACCAGUUCAGAAAGCUGAGGAAACAUCUCUUUCAAGGCAACGACAACUUGUUUAUCCGUUCUCUCAGUCGGUGCAAGACUUGGGAGGCCAAAGGUGGGAAAUCAGGAUUAUCUUUUUGUAAAACUGAUG
rnacentral:sRNA from 1 species